CCUGCCCCGUUCCACUCGGCACCAGGCCAGGCCGAGGGGGCGCGGUAGGGUCUUCUUUUUUUUCACUCCUUCGCCUUACCCACCUCCACCAGCGCGCUCGAGCGCGGCAGGCCACCGCUAGACUGUGCGCCAUGCUCGCCGCCGGCCGUAUGCACAGGUCGCCGCUGCCCGGGCGCCGGGGCCCGUUCCAAUGUUGCCUCGGCAUAAAUGAGGAGGGGACGAGAGGAGCGGUGCCAAAGUGUCGGCGGGGCUUUGGUGGUCUCGAAGGUGGCGUCUAGUGAGCGGGCGGAGGGGAGAGGAGAGGAGGGUUGGCAGCGCCAUUGUUUAGGGUGAGGCAAGGAAGGAAGUAGUGUGAUGGAUCUUCGAAACCGUCAACUCAAUCCACGGGUGGUGUCCCCGCGAGGCCACCCUAGUAGACCACACAAACAACCAUCGAUCGAACGAUCCCCCUUGCUUCUUCUAGGCUACUCCAGGUACCCGUCGAGGCUGAGUAGGAGGCCGAGCCGCGUUUUUCGUCGCGCCGUAGUCGUACUCGGCGGCGGAGGCGCCGUCGCCCCGAGCCGCGGCCUCGAGGGUGGCCCGAAGGCCAAGGUGGGCUGCCUGCUCCUCGACCAGCACGUGAUGGAGUUCUUCUUCCGGCGGUUCCACGGCGAGGGGCAGUGGUAGUAGCGGCUCCACCUAGAGAUGUUCAAGCUGGGUACCCUCGAGGGGCCAUACGAUACAGAUAGAGCAGCCGGCACGAACUAAAUAGUGCGCGGCGUUUAAAGGCCACGUUAAUUUAUUAGCUUAUUAGGUAGGUAGAGUACGAAUAUGAUAACGACACGUGUUCAUAAAAAUAUAAGAAGAUCGUGUGUACACACAUCUAUAGACCCAAUACAUACACUAGGACAGCACGAACAAGUACGCGAGCCCUAGCCCUAGGUAGGUAGUCUCUUCCGCUGGAAGCCCCUCGUCCUCACCAUGAAGAAGUCGGGCGCGCUGGCGUUCAUGGGGUUGCCGCGCGCCGGCUUGGCCCGCCGCUGCAGCCCGAUGACCUUCCGGUGGCCGUGCCUGUUUGGAUAGGACCGGAGCCCCUGCCCCACGCCGGACCAGGCCCUCUUCGAGCCGCAGUUCUUCCGCGAGCAGAAGAUGGCGCCCUUCGGCGGGUUCCCGGAGUUUUGGUUGACCUAGUACGUGCUCAUGGCGGAGUGGCUGCGCAGACCGAGGUGGUGGUGGUCGGCCGGCGGCGGCGGACACUGGCCGCCCUCGGCCCGACGUCGGAGAGACUCCAACCUGCUGACCCACGACACGGCGUAGAUGUUCUUCUAGUUGUUCCGGCGCCGGCCUCUAGUCGUCUCCUCGUGCCUCACGCUCCUGAGGCACCUCCUGCGCCAGUGGCGCAUGGGCGAGAUACGGUGCCGCCCGUACCGGCCACGUCCACGCGUACCGUCGUUGAUGCGAAGUGGAAGUGACGAGGUAGUAGUCCUGUCGGUAAAGGACCUCCCGGACAAGUGUCGUCUGCUGCGGCCGGAGAGCCGCCCGCGGUGGAGCGACUCGGUGGACCGGCGCCGCCGCUCCCGCUCGGGCCGAGGCUGGUUUGUCAAAGAGCGGGGCAGCAGAAGUUGGGGCAAGUUGACCGAGCUACGCAGUGGGCGGCCGUAGGACGGUGUCCGUUCCUUAAAGGGACCCAAAUUGUCCUCGUCUUUGCAGCCGUUAUACAGCGACAGUAGCUGCCGGCUGUACCGACCGCGCCGGCCGUUACGCCACUUGCGGUACAGGCGUAAAUACUUAGGAGAGGGGCACGUUCUGCCCUGCAUGGUAGUUGUGGUACAGUAGGAGCCGCGGGGUGACCGCGGUCUCCGAUGGUGUCCGCCGCGGUGGAGACCAAAGGUCGUAGGGCAGGUUCAUAGGCCGCACUUGACCUUAGGGACUCGUUUACUAUACUUGUGGUGUAUGCGCGUACGUGCGUACGUAUUGAAAACGUUCACAUCGGUCAUCAACAACGUCAAGCACCAUCAGCGAAAGUCACUCGUGACUCAUCGAUCGACGUACGUGUAGUGGUAACGUACCUAUAUAUACCGACGUAACGUGGUACCGGUGCAUGAACAGGCUUGAACGAUCGGUAUAUCAUCGUGUAUCGAUCCUCAUAAAAGCUUCAUUUUUUCUAGUAUUGUAUCACGAGGUAUAUAUAACAUCAUUUAUAUAUAAAAUCUAUAUACUCAUACUAUAAUCGCAGUAUACGUAUAUCAUAUAUAACAUCACGUAUAUCAUUUAUGUAUACGUUAACUAAUGUUUGGGGUCAGUCUAUAUUAAAAACCGGCCCAGAUCGAUGCGUAGUACAUAUUUAUCCACACAUACAUUUAUUCGUUGCGUACCAUUAACGUAUGUGCCCAUACUAAGUAGAUGUACCUGGAUGUAACAUAUUGAAAAAAAAGCGCUUACUUCAAAACACUUGAUGAUACAACGUCACCAAAUCAAUAAUUAAUACACUCACCGGGAAUACGCGGUUAGAAAAUAUGUAUCUAACCUUAAAUAUACGAUUUAUACAAACUUUUAACACACAAUAGAGGAAUUAAAGUGAAAAGUUUCCUUUUGAAGUAGAACUGUCAAUAGUGUACAUAUUCGAAAGGUGCCUGCGGAGGGAUUAGUGGCGCGAGUACAUUCAAGAUACACCGGAACGGCGGUGUGUAUUUGAUCCCUUUCUAUACACGUGCUUUCUACAUUCAUGUAGAGAUAAGGUAGGAAGGUAAAAGUCGAAAGUUCUACACACGGCACUUAUAUAGGGUUGUGGAAGCCAGUACAUCGUGGUAGACAAAUGAUACCUGAUUCCCUGAUGACGGAGCUCCAAGUGAUAAUGAAGGGGGAAAAGGAUGCAGUAAGUG
rnacentral:rRNA from 1 species